GUGCUCACUUUGGCAGCACAUAUACUAAAAUUAGAACGAUACAGAGAAGAUUAGCAUGGCCCCUGUGCAAGGAUGGAAAAAAAUAAAAAAGAUUUUAAUAAUAAUU
rnacentral:snRNA from 1 species